rnacentral:rRNA from 1 species
UACGGAGGGAGCAAGCGUUGUUCGGAUUUACUGGGCGUAAAGGGCGCGUAGGCGGCCUCUGCAAGUCGACUGUGAAAUCUCCGGGCUUAACCCGGAAAGGUCAGCCGAUACUGCAGGGCUAGAGUGCAGAAGGGGCAACUGGAAUUCUCGGUGUAGCGGUGAAAUGCGUAGAUAUCGAGAGGAACACCUGCGGCGAAGGCGGGUUGCUGGGCUGACACUGACGCUGAAGUGCGAAAGCUAGGGGAGCGAACGGG